rnacentral:lncRNA from 1 species
CCUGGAUGCCCAACUCCAGCACAGAGAGGAUGGGAAGAAGAACAAAAAAGGGAUGAGCAGUGAUCUCCAGUGGAUUUGUGCACCAAAGAGCACCAUCACCUCAUCCACAUGGGAGCUACUUCCUUUGGGUGGCCUUCUGCUCUUCACCACUACAUGUCUCAGUAAUGCAGGGAGAGUUCCUCCAAGAAAGAGGAAGAAGAUCCCAUAUUUGACCCUAAAGAAAGGAUGUGCCAUGGCCACUAUCUA